GGAGCCCCCCGCGGUACGGAUCGUUUUAGGGUUUCACCUCUAUAAAUAUCUUUGUAAGCCGCAGGAGAUAUCUAUCUCUAUUGUAAAUCUCCUGCGAUCUGUAACCACCCAAAAAAUAGUGAGAAGUUGCCGGCCGGCGCCCGUGGUUUUUUCCCCUUCACUUUGGAGGGGUUUUCCACGUUAAAUCCGUGUCUACUCUGUGAUUGAUCCUAUUUGUGUCGCAUUUAUUUAUAACAAGUGGUAUCAAAGCUUUGGUUGUUUGGUGAUCGGUGUGCUAGGGUUUCCUGCCGGCGCACGGAUGUCGACGACAAUGAAGUACGAUCUUCCGCUGCUGGAUCUCGACACGCGUUUCUCGCUGUGGCAGGUGAAGAUGCGGGCAAUUCUCUCGCAAUCUGAUCGCGACCUGGAUGAUGCCCUAGAUGGAUUUGGCAACAAGGAUGCCAGGACGUGGACAGAUGAGGAGAGGCGCAAGGAUCGUAAGGCGCUCGCACAUAUUCACCUUCAUCUGUCUAACAAUAUUCUGCAGGAGGUUCUGGCAGAGAAGACUGCCGCUGCUCUCUGGUUGAAGCUGGAGUCGAUCUGUAUGUCAAAGGAUCUGACCAGCAAGAUGCAUGUCAAAAUGAAGUUGUUCUCCCACAAGUUGCAGGAAGGAGGAUCCGUUCUGACGCACAUAUCGGUGUUUAAGGAGAUCGUGGCCGAUCUGACGUCUAUGGAGGUAAAGUUUGAUGAUGAAGACCUAGCUCUUCUUCUCCUGUGUUCCCUCCCUGCAUCGUUUAGCAAUUUUCGAGAUACCAUCCUAUACAGUCGUGAUACUCUAACCGUGGCUGAAGUGUAUGAAGCUUUGACUGCGAAAGAAAAAAUGAGACAGAUGGUUAACUCGGAAGAUGCUGCUGGCUCGAGUGGAGAAGCUUUGUAUGUCCGUGGCCGCACUGAUCAGAAAAAGUCCAACUCAGGUGGCAAAGGAAAGGGGAAGAACCAGAGGGGUCGCUCCAAGUCAAGGGGGCCAUCCGAUGAAUUAUUUUGCAAAUACUGCAAGAAGACGAACCAUGUAAUUGAGAACUGUUACAAACUGCAGAACAAGGAGAAGAGGAACAAGGAGAAGGGUAAGACUGGAGGUACUGUCUCUGUUGCAUCCGAAAAUAAUUCUGAUAAUGGUGAUGUUCUUAUUGCCUUUGCUGGUUGUGCUGCUGAUGAUGCCCAAUGGAUCCUCGAUUCUGCUUGCUCAUAUCAUGUUUGCACUAAAAAAUCUCUGUUUAGUACCUAUGAAGCUGUGCAGAACGGAGGUACUCUUCGGAUGGGUGAUAAUUCCCCUUGCACUGUUGUUGGCAUGGGCACCGUGCAGAUCAAGAUGUUCGAUGGGAUUGUACGCACAUUGACUGAAGUACGACAUGUUCCAUCCAUGUCCAGGAACCUCAUCUCUCUGAGUACUCUGGACACAAAGGGCUACAAGUAUACCGCCGGUGACGGUGUCAUGAAGGUAACAAAAGGCUCUCUUGUGGUUAUUAAAGGUGAUUUGAAAGCUGAAAACUUAUAUGUGCUUCGAGGUAGUUCUGGCUCUGCUAAUGCUGUUGUUGCAUCUGAUUCUGAGACUACUAAAAUUUGGCAUAUGCGCCUUGGCCAUAUGAGUGCACCUGGUUUGGCAGAAUUGAGCAAGAGAGGCCUUCUUGAUGGCUGCCAUGCUGAUACUCUUGAUUUCUGUGAGCACUGUGUUUUCGGUAAGCAUAAAAGGGUAAAAUUCAGUUCUGCUGUUCAUAAUACCGAAAAUAUUCUUGAUUAUGUUCAUGCUGAUUUGUGGGGGCCGUCACGUAUACCUUCACAUGGUGGUGCUCGUUACAUGUUGACUAUCAUUGAUGAUAAUUCACGCAGAGUUUGGCCUUAUUUUCUUAAGCAAAAAUCAGAUGCCUUUGAGUCUUUCAAGGUUUGGAAGACUAUGGUUGAGAAGCAGACUGAGAGGAAGCUGAAGGUUCUGAGAACUGACAAUGGUAUGGAGUUUUGUUCUGGUGAUUUUAACUCUUUCUGCAGGAAGGAGGGCAUUGUGAGGCACCACACUAUACCAUAUACACCUCAGCAGAACGGUGUGGCAGAGCGUAUGAAUAGAACAAUAAUCUCCAAGGCUCGGUGUAUGCUGUCCAACUCAGGUUUGAGCCACAAGUUUUGGGCUGAGGCCGCUUCCACUGCUUGUCAUUUGAUCAAUUGUUCACCAUCCACUGCUAUCGAUAAGAAAACUCCAAUUGAGGUUUGGUCUGGUUCCCCCUAUGAUUAUUCUCAGUUGAGAGUGUUUGGUUGUACUGCAUAUGCACAUGUUGAUAAUGGUAAACUUGAGCCUAGAGCAAUUAAGUGUGUUUUCUUGGGUUAUGGAUCUGGUGUUAAAGCAUAUAAAUUGUGGAAUCCUGAUACACAGAAGGCAUUUUUUAGUAGAAACGUUGUGUUCAAUGAAUCUGCCAUGUUUCCUUCGGUUGUAUCUACCAGUGCUACUAACCAGAAUUCUGAGUCUAUCAGUGUGCAGGUGGAGCACGGAGGGGAUGUUGAUGAUCAUGCUCCACCAUCUGCUGAACCUGCUGAAAAUUAUGUUUCUGAAAUUUCAUCACCUGUUGUGGAGUCUCAUCCCCAGUCUCUUGCUGAAGGCCGAACUAGGAGGCAGAUAGUUCGGCCCCAAAGACUGAUUCAAGAGUGCAAUGUUGCUUUUGCUUUAGCUGUUGCUGAAGAAGUUGAUAAUGUUCAGGAACCAUUGAAUUAUUCAGAAGCUAUAUUGUGUACUGAUAGUGAAAAGUGGAUGGGUGCUAUGCAUGAAGAAAUGGAGUCUCUUGAUAAGAAUGGCACUUGGGAACUAGCUCGGCUGCCUUCUGGUAAAAAGGCAAUUAAGUGCAAAUGGAUCUUCAAAAGAAAAGAAGGUAUGACUCCAAAAGAGCCUCCGCGCUUUAAAGCAAGGCUAGUUGCAAAAGGUUUUAGUCAGAUUCCAGGAAUUGAUUACUCUGAUGUCUAUUCUCCUGUUGUCAAGCAUAGUUCAAUUCGUACCUUUCUUAGUCUUGUUGCUGUACAUGACUAUGAGCUUGAACAGUUAGAUGUGAAAACUGCUUUCUUACAUGGUGAUUUGGAGGAGGACAUUUAUAUGGACCAGCCAGAGGGGUUCAUUGUUCCUGGAAAAGAAGAUUAUGUGUGCAGGUUGAAGAAGUCCUUAUAUGGUCUGAAACAAUCUCCCAGACAAUGGUAUAAGAGGUUUGAUUCAUUUAUGCUUUCUAAGGGCUUUCAGAGGUCUCAAUAUGAUAGUUGUGUUUAUCUAAAAUUUGUUAAUGGAUCACCUACAUAUUUGCUGCUAUAUGUUGAUGAUAUGUUGAUUGCUGCCAAGAGCAUGAAGGAAAUCACUGCUUUAAAGGCACAGCUUAGUAGCGAAUUUGAUAUGAAGGAUCUGGGUGCUGCAAAGAAAAUCCUUGGCAUAGAGAUAGUCAGGGAUAGGAAGUCUGGACUGCUGUACUUGAGCCAGAAGAAUUAUAUUGAGAAGGUCCUUCGUCGUUUCAACAUGCAAAAUACUAAACCUGUGAGUACUCCGUUGGCUCCUCAUUUUAAACUGUCUGCUAAACAGUGUGCUGAAACUGAUGCUGAGCUUGAAUAUAUGUCAAAAGUUCCAUACUCUAGUGCUGUUGGGUCACUCAUGUAUGCUAUGGUUUGUUCUCGUCCUGAUUUGUCUCAUGCUAUGAGCGUUGUUGCUAGAUACAUGUCUAAUCCUGGUAAAGAGCAUUGGAAAGCUGUUCAGUGGAUUUUCAGAUAUCUACGUGGUUCUUCUAGUGCUUGUUUAUGUUUUGGUAAAUCUGGAGAUGGUCUGAUUGGCUAUGUUGAUUCAGAUUAUGGUGGUGAUUUAGACAGGAGGAGAUCUCUUUCAGGUUAUGUCUUUACUAUUGGAGAUUGUGCUGUGAGUUGGAAAGCUCGUUUACAGGAUACUGUUGCUUUGUCUACCACAGAAGCUGAGUAUAUGGCAAUUGCAGAAGUUACUAAGGAAGCCUUAUGGUUGAAAGGUAUAUAUUCAGAGCUAUGUGGAAUUAAGUCUUGCAUUACCAUCUAUUGUGAUAGCCAGAGUGCCAUUCAUCUCACCAAAGAUCAGAUGAUUACUGAGAAAUCCAAACAUAUUGAUAUUCGUUAUCACUUCAUUCGUGAUAUCAUUGAUAAAGGGUUGGUGAAGGUAUGCAAGAUCAGUACUGAUAAUAAUCCAGCUGAUAUGAUGACGAAGCAUGUUUCUGUUGCUAAGUUUGAGCUAUGCUCAAACUUAGUUGGUAUUAUAAAUUAGCCCUUAGUGGCUGUUGGCGCCGGCAAGAUGAUGAUGCAUUUGUUUAAGGUGGAGGUUGCUAUUAUGAUGCUACAAGGAAUUUGUCUCAAGGUGGAGUUUGUUGAGUUUGUGAUCCAAAUUCUGAAGAAGGCGGCCAAGUUGGCGAGCGAAGCGGAGGCCCGUCGCCGGGAGGCUUGGGCCGGAGCGCAGCGAGGCCAACUGGCCUUCCCACGGCCCAGGGACGCCUGGGGGGUGCGGGGGGCGGAGCCCCCCGCGGUACGGAUCGUUUUAGGGUUUCACCUCUAUAAAUAUCUUUGUAAGCCGCAGGAGAUAUCUAUCUCUAUUGUAAAUCUCCUGCGAUCUGUAACCACCCAAAAAAUAGUGAGAAGUUGCCGGCCGGCGCCCGUGGUUUUUUCCCCUUCACUUUGGAGGGGUUUUCCACGUUAAAUCCGUGUCUACUCUGUGAUUGAUCCUAUUUGUGUCGCAUUUAUUUAUAACA
rnacentral:lncRNA from 1 species